CAAUGACACAAUGGACUGGCUGAAUUAAAGCUAUGAGGGCGGGGGUUAUUAUGAAUGAGUGAAGCGAUCUGGGACGCAGGUGUGAGGACGGAGGGGCACUGGAGAGUGUGUGUCCCCCAACCAGUGCUCAGCUUUGCCAGUUAUGAUGAUGUGAGAUUAUGGGCUUAAGACCCUUUGAUUUUUAGAGAAGCCAGAAAUCUAGAUUUUUAUAUGUGCAAUCUGAUUUUAAAUAUGGACAACCCAUACCAAAAAUUUUUAGGUGCAAAAUUCUUGUGCCUUUGAGCUGUCACUUUACAGUCUCUGGCUUACACCAGCAGGACAGGCAGGCCAUUUAGUUUCUAGGUAGUCAGGAAGCUAGAUCUAUCUGAAUCAAUCCAGACCACCAGCUCUGAGGGUCAAGACGACAUUGGUGGCACCUGACAUGCCUGCCUUUCUCCUCAGGUCCUCAGCUGGUACCAACAGCUGCUCUAUAAACAGCCACAUAACAUUAUCUGUCCUGGGUUUUUGUUGUACAGAUGACAGGAGAAUACUGCUGCCACUGUGUCACGGGGGAAGAGCUGUAUUUCUCAGGGAACUUUUGUUUUCCCCCAAAACCCACAGAACGUCGUCAAUCUGGCCACUGAUAAUGAUUCCCAACAGAUCCUGGCUGUUGGAAGGUGCAGGCCCCCAGUCGGGGCCACCUUUGCAACUGAACAGGGCCUUAUAGACAUGAUUUUGAGCACCAUUUUUAGCUGGCUUCACGUAAUUUUUUGUUCUUUAUUUUUUCCUUCCAUUUUCACAACCUGCUUUUCACUUGUUGAAUGUAUUUCUAUAUAUCACCUAAAAUUCCGUUUUGAGAAGAAGUGGGUAUAAAUGAUCUUUUAAUUGAUAUUUGAGGAUAGACCUAAACAUGGGUUUACUACUUUCCUUCAUAUAUCAUUAUUAUAUUUGAGAAACAUUGCUCAGUAAAAACAUAUGAGUUUGGAAAAUAGUGAAUCAUGCUAUACAAAUUCUGUUCCCUUCAAAUUUUUACUUACACAUAAGCUUCCUCCAUGGCAGGGUUAGCCAGGAAGACAAUUUAACAUAAGUCACGGCUCUCAAGAGAACAGAUCUUACAAAAGUUAGAAUUAUUAAAUAUUAGUCUUUAUGAAUAGGGCUUGUUGCGCCUACUCAGAAAUCACCUUUUCAAAUCACCUAACCUUGAAAUGGAUCACAGUAUUACCGAGGAUGCAGAAAAAUACUGCGAACUAGUCAAUGAAGUGUGACAACACAGUACUUCUAUGCCCUCGGUAAGGAAUUUAUCUACAACAAAAGCUCAAAUCAAUUUGAUAGCUUUAUUUUAAGAGUCCACCUCCAGGCCAAACUCUUUGCCCUUAGCCUUUGAAUCUGAAAUGAGGUCGUUUUUAAAGCACUGAAAAGUCAGUGUGAAUUCCCGCGAUUUCAGGACCAGCAAGUACAGCUGCCCAGAAGCAGUUGGAAUCUUCAAGAUCAAUUAUGUUUACAGCAGAAAAAAUGGAAAGAAACACUUUUGUUUUACUGGGAGAGUAUGUGCUACAAUUUAAUGUGUGUCUCCACUUCAGUGGAGAAAGGAGGAUUUGAAGGACCUAUUAAAGUUUAACAACUACUUUUCUAAACUCAUGAUUAGAUUAAUUCAUUUAGAGAAAAACAUUCUAAAUAACUGCUGAGAGUCUACAUUUGUACUUAGUCUAUUUGACCCAGUUCCUUUUUCUUCAUGACUUGGAUUUUCCUUUGUUUUGUCUCCUUUCAGAGCCUGGCCUGGAGCCUGGCUCUCAGGGAGAGCUGCUCCGAGCAAAUCCCAUCUGACCCUGACGGCUCUUCUCUGAAAGCUGAAUAUUACCACUCACCAGUGGAAGCCUUCUUGUGUAUUCUACAAAAACUACGGUAAAUGAAAAGAUAACAAAUUAAGUCAAGGGAAGUACUCAGUGACUUGUCUCAGGUCAAACAGCAAAUUGGUGGAGGACCUGGGACUAGAACACCAUUCUCUGGAUUCCAGGAGCAAUAAUGGUCUAAUGUGUUAUAAAUAAAAACGAGACCGAAACCUGAUUUCCCAAAGCCAGAGCAAAAUAAGAAUAAGUUUAAGUAGAUUAAAAUCAAAGUUUACUUACUUUCUUUUAGGUAUGAGGAAAGACUGUGAGUCAAAUCAUUGGCCUUGAGGAAACAGGAGUCU